GAUGAACGCUGGCGGCGUGCUUAACACAUGCAAGUCGAACGAAGCACUUUAUUUGAUUUCCUUCGGGACUGAUUAUUUUGUGACUGAGUGGCGGACGGGUGAGUAACGCGUGGGUAACCUGCCUUGUACAGGGGGAUAACAGUUGGAAACGGCUGCUAAUACCGCAUAAGCGCACGGCAUCGCAUGAUGCAGUGUGAAAAACUCCGGUGGUAUAAGAUGGACCCGCGUUGGAUUAGCUAGUUGGUGAGGUAACGGCCCACCAAGGCGACGAUCCAUAGCCGACCUGAGAGGGUGACCGGCCACAUUGGGACUGAGACGCGGCCCAAACUCCUACGGAAGGCAGCAGUGGGGAAUAUUGCACAAUGGGCGAAAGCCUGAUGCAGCGACGCCGCGUGAGCGAAGAAGUAUUUCGGUAUGUAAAGCUCUAUCAGCAGGGAAGAUAAUGACGGUACCUGACGAAGAAGCACCGGCUAAAUACGUG
rnacentral:rRNA from 1 species